rnacentral:rRNA from 1 species
AACGAACGCUGGCGGCAGGCUUAACACAUGCAAGUCGAGCGCCCCGCAAGGGGAGCGGCAGACGGGUGAGUAACGCGUGGGAAUCUACCCAUCUCUACGGAAUAACGCAUGGAAACGUGUGCUAAUACCGUAUACGUCCUUCGGGAGAAAGAUUUAUCGGAGAUGGAUGAGCCCGCGUUGGAUUAGCUAGUUGGUGGGGUAAAGGCCGACCAAGGCGACGAUCCAUAGCUGGUCUGAGAGGAUGAUCAGCCACACUGGGACUGAGACACGGCCCAGACUCCUACGGGAGGCAGCAGUGGGGAAUAUUGGACAAUGGGCGCAAGCCUGAUCCAGCCAUGCCGCGUGAGUGAUGAAGGCCCUAGGGUUGUAAAGCUCUUUCACCGGUGAAGAUAAUGACGGUAACCGGAGAAGAAGCCCCGGCUAACUUCGUGCCAGCAGCCGCCGUAAACA